rnacentral:rRNA from 1 species
CCUACGGGUGGCAGCAGUCGAGAAUCAUUCACAAUGGGGGAAACCCUGAUGGUGCGACGCCGCGUGGGGGAAUGAAGGUCUUCGGAUUGUAAACCCCUGUCAUGUGGGAGCAAAUUAAAAAGAUAGUACCACAAGAGGAAGAGACGGCUAACUCUGUGCCAGCAGCCGCGGUAAUACAGAGGUCUCAAGCGUUGUUCGAAAUCAUUGGGCGUAAAGCGUGCGUGGUCUGUUUCGUAAGUCGUGUGUGAAAGGCGCGGGGUCAACGCGCGGACGGCACAUGAUACUGCGAGACUGGAGUGAUGAUGUGGGAGCCGGAAUGCGCGGUGUAGCAGUGAAAUGCGUAGAUAUC